GCGUCUUCCUCUACCUGUGGGAGCACGGCUGGUUCGACAACCUGCUGCUGGACAUCGAGCGCGCGCCGCAGAUCGUCAAAACGCUGGACGCAGGUACGGCACGGCGCCCCGGAAUGCUCGAAAACCUGGGGGCAGGUACCCCAAAAUCAUCAAAACCUCCCGAAAACCUGGGGGCAGGUAGCACAGAAUCAUCAAAAACCUGGAGGCAGGUACCCCAAGUUCCCCAAAAUCAUCAAAAACCUGGGGCAGGUAGCACAGAAUCAUCAAAACCUGGCGGCAGGUACCCCAGGUUCCCCAAAAUCAUCAAAACCUGGCGGCAGGUACCCCAGGUUCCCCAAAAUCAUCAAAAACCUGGGGGCAGGUACCCCAAAGUACCCCAAAAUCAUCAAAAACCUGGGUGCAGGUAGCACAGAAUCAUCAAAAACCUGGGGGCAGGUACCCCAAAAUCAUCAAAACCUCCCGAAAUCCUCGAAAACCUGGGGGCAGGUACCCCAAAAUCAUCAAAAACCUGGGGGCAGGUACCCCAAAAUCCUCGAAAACCUGGGGGCAGGUACCCCAAGUUCCCCAAAAUCAUCAAAAACCUGGGGGCAGGUAGCGCAGAAUCAUCAAAAACCUGGGGGCAGGUACCACAGAAUCAUCAAAACCUGGCGGCAGGUACCCCAAAAUCAUCGAAAGCUCCCGAAAUCCUCGAAAACCUGGGGCAGGUACCCCAAGUUCCCCAGAAUCAUCAAAAACCUGGGGGCAGGUAGCACAGAAUCAUCAAAACCUGGGGGCAGGUACCCCAAGUUCCCCAAAAUCAUCAAAAACCUGGGGGCAGGUACCCCAAGUUCCCCAAAAUCAUCAAAAACCUGGGGCAGGUACCCCGAAAUCAUCAAAACCUCCCGAAAUCCUCGAAAACCUGGGGGCAGGUACCCCAAAAUCAUCAAAACCUCCCGAAAUCCUUGAAAACCUGGGGGCAGGUACCCCAAAAUCCUCAGAAACCUGGCGGCAGGUACCCCAAGUUCCCCAGAAUCAUCAAAAACCUCGGUGCAGGUACCACAGAUUCAUCAAAAACCUGGGGGUAGGUACCCCAAAAUCCUCAGAAACCUGGGGGCAGGUAGCACAGAAUCAUCAAAAACCUGGGGGCAGGUACUCCAAAAUCAUCAAAACCUCCCGAAAUCCUUGAAAACCUGGAGGCAGGUACCCCAAAAUCAUCAAAACCUGGCGGCAGGUACCCCAAGUUCCCCAAAAUCAUCAAAAACCUCGGUGCAGGUACCACAGAAUCAUCAAAAACCUGGGGGCAGGUACCACAGAAUCAUCAAAAACCUGGGGGCAGGUACCACAGAAUCAUCAAAACCUGGGGGCAGGUACCCCAAAAUCAUCAAAAACCUGGGGGCAGGUAUCCCAAAAUCCUCGAAAACCUGGGGGCAGGUACCCCAA
rnacentral:lncRNA from 1 species